rnacentral:rRNA from 1 species
AAAAAAUUAUAUAUAUAUUGUAAAAAUAUACAUAUUAAAUAAAAAUAAAAACAUUUUUAUUAGAUAUACCUUUUGUAUAAGGAAAAGUUAAAAAUUUUAAUUAUUUAUUUUUAUAAAUCUCGAAAAAUAAAGAAAUAAAUAUUAUUUAAAAAUAUUGAAUAAAAAUAAAUUUAUUAAUGUUAUAUUAAGAGUUAUUUUUUCUAGUUAUAUAAAUAUAAAUUUUAGUUAAGCUAAAAUAAAAAACUUUUAAUUAUUUAAAUUAAAAAAGAUUUUAAAUUAAUUAUAAUUAUUUUAAAUUAUUUAUUUAAAUUAUAAAAGUUUAAAUUUUUUUAAAAUAUAUAAUUUAAUUUUGGUUAUAAUAAUUUUAUUAGUAGAAUUAAUGGGAAAAAACCGUUUAAAAAAAAUAUAAUGUUAUAAAAUAAUUUUUUUUUUUAAAUUUAUUAUUUUAAUUUUUAACAAAAUAUUAUUUAUUGAAUAAAUCAAUAGUAAAUUCUGCUCAAUGAAAAAUUAAAUAGCCGAUUAAUCGCUAAGGUAGCAUAAUCACUUGUUUUUUAAUUAAAAACUUGAAUGAAAGGAUAAAAAAAUAAUAAAACUAAAUGUAAUAUUAAAUUGAAAUUUUAAUUUUAAUGAAAAUAUUAAAUUUUUAAUUUAGACGGAAAGACCCUAAAAUUUCACUUUUUAAAAAGUUUUUUGGGAUAAAAUUUAAUUUAAAUAUUUUAAUUAUAUAUUGAAAAGAACUUUUAUUUAAGAAUAGAAAAAAAAAUACUUUAGGGUUAACAGGAUAAAUUUUAAUUAAAGAACAAAUUUAUUGAAUUUUUAUUACCUCGAUGUUGGUUUUAUAUAAACUUUAAAUCGCAAUAGAUUUAUUUAGUUAGUCUGUUCGACUAAUAAUUUAUAACUUGAACUGAGUUCAAAUCGGUGUAAGCCAGAUUGGUUCUUAUCUAAUUAAUAUUAAAUUUUUAAAAGUACGAAAGGAAAAUUUAAAUUAUAUUAUAUAA